GCAAGUCGAGGGGUAACAGGGUAGCAAUACCGCUGACGACCGGCGCACGGGUGCGUAACGCGUAUGCAACCUACCUUUAACUGGGGGAUAGCCCCGAGAAAUCGGGAUUAAUACCGCAUAACAUUGUGAUAUGGCAUCAUAUUACAAUUAAAACUCCGGUGGUUAAAGAUGGGCAUGCGUGACAUUAGUAGUUGGUGAGGUAACGGCUCACCAAGACUACGAUGUCUAGGGGUUCUGAGAGGAUGAUC
rnacentral:rRNA from 1 species